CUCGAUUCCUAUUACACAGCAAUGAACAAAGAGGGGCAGCUGUAGCAGCCCAAAUCUGCCCGGGCCUUAAAACUUAAAACAAAAAAUAAAUGAAUAAAUGAAUAUUUAUUUAUUUUAAAAGUCCGUUAAAAAGUCCAAACCCAAUAACCCUUACAAACAGACCCACUACCCAAACCAAUCUACUACAGACCCAAGUCACUCAGGCCCAAAAGGCCCAAUGACUUAAAACACCAGCAGCAAACCUUAGGGUUUCCUUGGAACCUCAGCGCCGCAGGAGCAGUUCCAGAAGAUUCAUCACGUCAGAGCCGUUCCAACUCCCGAAGCAAGGGCCAUCAAUAGCCUUGUCCCCUCACGUCACCCCAGCUAGCCCUCAUCAAUGCUGGUCAGAGCGAUGGUCACCUCACACGAGAUCCCAUCAAAGCACUGACCAGAGACUUUGGGCACUCCGAACGUCACCGCCGUUUGCCUCACAACGAUCCAGUGGUUUAAACAUCACCACCAUCAGUGCACCUUGAUCUCAGGCCUCACCACUAACCUUUGCGCCUCUAUCGGUGCCGAGAUCUUCGCAGCAGAGGCCGUCCUGUGGUCACCAGGCAAGAUUCGCAUCCAUAACGCGAUCUUCGCCGAAUUUUUGGUACCUGCAAGACAGAAAAAGGAAACCAAUAGACACAGAAAAGAAAAACGGAGCAGAAAAGGAAACUAAACAGGCAAAAAUAGCAAGAAAUAGCAGUAUACAAAUAUACGAAAUAUAUACAAAAGAGAACAAAUAUACGAAUAUUCAGAGAAGUUCAAGCAGUUUCUUUAAAAAGGUGAUUUAAAUUUCAUACUCUGUUAUUUAUUUUUCAACGAGUAUACGAAUUGUUUUUGCAAAAAACUGUUGAUAUUUAAAAGGAAGAAGAGGUUACCUGUGUUUCGCUUGAAGGGACGAGGGUUUUUACCCCUCCGACCACCGUGGGAAGUGGCGGUGUGGCGCGUGGGCAUGUGCUGCUCAGUGGCAUGAGGCCGAAGCUGGGGACUCCUCUCUUCUCCCUUUCAGAGAAUUUCAAAACUUUUUUUUAAAACCCAUUGUAAAAUGAAUUUUGGGUUAAAUGUUGACAUAUAUAGCAUUACGAAAACGGCGUCGUUUUGCUUAAUUCAAUAAGCACUAAAACGACACCGUUUAAAUAGAGGAUCCGAGUGUUGACCCGUGACCCGGGGAAGGAUCCGCGUGUUUUUGGUAAAUGGGCAAAUUGCCCAAUUGAUCCCUCCGUUUUUCAGAAAUUUUUAAUUUCAUUUUUAUUUUUAUUUUAAAUUGGCCCUAAAUUUUUACGUGUAUGCCAAUUUAGUCCCAGCAUCCAUUAAAAUCUAUUCUGAGGAACGACGUCGUUUUCUGGGAUAAGGGCUAAUUGCCCAAUGAGCCCCUCUGCUUUAACGCGCCUUUUAAUUUGGCCCAAAAAUUUUCAUUUAUUCGUAAUUAACCCUAAAUUUUUAAAUUAAAUUAAUUUUUUCUUAUAAAUUCAAUUUAUUCUAAAUACUAUAUAUAUUUUUAUAAAAAUUGGUUAUAUAAAAGUGUAUUUAUUAUUUUUCUUUGUAUAUUAUUUAUUAUAUUAUUAUAAAUUAUUAUAUAUUAUGUUACCUAUAUUUUAUUAUAUAUAUUAUUUUAUAUAUUACUUAUCAUUUUGUUUAUAUUAUUAUAUAUUUCGUUUAUAAAUUUUAUUAUAUGUCAUAUUUUUCCAUAUAUUAUCUCUUAUAUACUUUUAUUUUAUUAUAAAAUAUAUAUUAUUUUAUUGCUUAUUAAUUACAUAUGUUUUAUUUUAUUAUUAAAUAAAUUUGUGUAAUAUUAACAUUUAGUACAUUAUUUUGUUAUUAUAUCCUAUAAUAUGGUAUAUACAUAUUAAUCAUUUUUUUAAAAAAAGGUUUUCCUUUGUCAUUCAUAUAUUAUUCUAAAUAUUUCUAAACAUCUUUAUUUUUAUUUUAUUUAAUUUUUAUUUUAUAUGUUUAUAAUUUGCUUAUUUAUUUUUGAAUUCUUUUAUUUUGAUAUUGUUUAGUAGGUUAAAUUUUCAUAGAUUAUUUGUUAUUUCGUGUUUUUGUUUUUAUAUAUUCGCAUGAAAUAAAUUAUUUAUGUUAUUUUAAGUUACUACUGCAUAAAAUAUUAUCAUAUAUAUAUAUAUAUAUAUAUAUUGCAAUUUAUAUUUGUUGUAUUCAUUAUGCGCUAUGUUGUAUUUUGCAUGUAACGAUAAUGCAUGUACAUUUAUGUUAUUUAUGAUUAUAUAUGCAUAAAAUGAUAACGUAUAUUGUAUAAUUUAUGCCAUUAUUCUUUAUUUUUAUAUAUUAUAUUUGCAUGGAAGGUUAAAGAAGGUAUUAUGUAAGUUAAUUUAUUAAUCCUUUAUAAUAUGUUAAAUGCAUCAUCACUUUAAAAAACUUUUAUAUUUCAUUCGAUCCAAAAAGAAUUUAAAAAAUAAGGCAAUGUUUUUGGUAAUUAGGAAUUCGGGAAGUAAUGCCCUAACAUGCUGGGUUGCGAUUUCUCGUCUGUCUAAAUGCUUAAAAAAAUCCUUCUAGAUGAGUUUUGAAAAUCACAAGAUGAUUUUAGUUAUGAAAGUUUAAGAAUAUUGUGUCCAAUCAUGCUGGAUGUGAUAUUUAUAUUCUUUUGAAACGAAGGAAUCUUGAUUUUUUUUUACUCAAAAUUAUUACGGUUUUAAAAGAGAUCUCAUUUUUAAGUUCUUUCAAACUCUUGACAUUAAGACAAAAUUAUUCAAUUUGGUACCAAUUUUGGGCGUUGCGAGGGUGCUAACCCUUCCUCGUACGUAACCGACUCUGAACUCACUUUCUCAUAAUUUUGUAGACCAAAAUGUUUUAUAAAGUGAUCCAAUCACACUUUAAAAGGUUGGUGGCGACUCCCGUUUUCAAAAUACCUCUUCGCCUUCUAAAAGAAGGUUUCGACAAUAGGCUUUAUUUAUGAGGCUGUUGAUAGAGCUAAACGAGCAAUUCAACAAAAGUGUAGAUAUUUCACUAAGUACGAAAAGAUUCUUGACAAUAGAUGGAAUUUUAUGCAUUUCGACUUGCAUUCAGCUGGUAAGAUAAAAUGUUUCAUAUAAUAAUUAAGAACUAUAUUUAUAUUUUAUUAUUUUAAGCUUUAGAUUAUUAUUUGAUGAUAUUCUUAUAAAUUAUACUUAGGUUAUUUUCUCAAUCCUCAAUUUCAAUUUAGGGUGGAGCAUUCUGAGAAUGUACUAAUAGAAACAUUAGAAGGUACACAAUCAGUAAUUGAAAGAUUAGAACUUUCUCUUGAUACUCAAGUCAGAAUGGUUAAUCAGGUUAGAUUCAAGUAUUAUUAUUUGUAACUUACUUACAUAAUUUGAAAUAGAAUUAUUUUUUUAUUUUUACUCUAUCUUUUAUUUAUACAGUUGUUACUAUUUAGGGAUAAACAUGAGACAUUCAGUACUCCACAAGCACAAUGAGCUUGGAAGCAAAUGAAUCUGGGUAAAAAGUUAAUUAAAUUAUUUUAUUUUAUUUAUAUUAUUUAAUUAUAUUGUACAUUUUGAAGUUAUUUUGAAAUUUAAAUAAUAUUAUGCAGUUGAGUGGUGGAUAAUAUACGGCACAUGUGUUCCCGAAUUACAAAAAUUAGCAAUUAAAGUGCUUAGUCAAACAACUUCUGCAUCAAAUUGCGAACGAAAUUGGAGCACGUUUAGUUAUAUUCACACCAAUGCAAGAAAUAGGUUCAAGUAUAAAAAACUUGAGAAACUAGUGUUUACCUAUUAUAAUAUGAGGCUUCAGAUAAGACAUUAAAAAAGAAUGAGCAUUGAUAAUAUAAAUGCUAGUUUUAAUCAUAUCAACGUUGAUCAUAUCUUUGAAGAUGUUGAUCCACUAUCAUAAUGGCUUCAUGAGAAAGAGAAUCCAUUGUUAGAUGGUGAAAAUGCCGGUGUGUUGCAUGUGGAUACCUCUGAUGAUGAAAUGGAUGUUGAUCAAUGAUGGUAGUGAAACUAACUAAAAAUUUGACUUAAUGCAAGCGCACCUAUCGAACAGUAGUAUAGUUAUGGUGAGACCGGAAAUGGAUGUUGAUCAAUCUCAACAAAAAAAUUUGCCUUAUUCAAGUUCUAGUUCAACGUCAAGUCAGCGUGGCGAUGGACCCGAUGGUGGUGGUUUAAGUCCAAUUGAUGAGGAUGAUGGACAUAGUGAUGAUAGAGGUGAAAUUAGGUCUUCUAGUCGGUAUGGAGGAGAAUAUGGGGUUGGUACCACUAGUGGAAAUUUUCUUGAUAGAUAAGAGUUUGACGGAAAUAUGUUUCCUGAACCUAGAAGAGAUAGAAGUGAACCUAGAGCUCCAUCAAAAGGAAGAGGCAAGAAGCAUACUUCUAUAGGCUCUUCAUCUGGUAGGAGAUCGAGUUCUAGUAACCUUGAGUAUAGUGAUUCAUCUACUAGCACUCAAGGUUUUUAUCCACCAGAACAACCUUCAUAUUUUCAACUUUCACAUGGUUAUCCACAACCAUAUGGUUAUUAUCCACCAUUUCCUAAUUAUGGUGUGUCAUACCAACCUCAAAUGCAUCCUCCACCACCAAUGUAUCACCCACCCCUACCUCUUAUGUAUCCUCCUCCUUAAAUAUACCUCCAUAUCAAUUAUAUGAAAACCAAGGUGAAAAUGUUACUUUUUUGGAUAUAUUUUUGGACAAAAGCCAAGAGAAUCAAGCCAAGAACGCUCUCAAAGUGAAGGUGAAAGAUUUGAUCCUCCUCGUCAUUCCACUAAUUGGUGAAAACUAAAUCGUACCACUACCAUUAUUUGUAAGGUAUUUUUUUUAAAGAAAACUUUUAUUAAUGUUCUUAAUUUUGAUGAUAUUAAAAUAUUUAAAAUAUAUCUUUAGAAAAAUGAAUGAAGUAUAUUUUAUGAAAAUAUAAUUAAGAAUUGAAGCAUGUUAAACUAUAUAUGAAAGUAGAAUGAGAGUAAGUAUAACUGGUAGGAAAGAGGAAUAAUUAAUGAGAAUCUAUAAAUUUAUCUAUUCCUUUUUUUUCUUUUGCAGCAUAGAAUGUUUAUAUCUUCACAUUCUUCAAAACUGUCAAGAAAUAUUGAAGACAUCUCUUAUGUAUGAAUUUUCAAUUAUUUUAUCUAUAAAAACUUUCAAACUUAUUAAAUAUGAUAAAUGUUUAAUAUUUCCUAUUUUUUUACUUUUUUAUUAGUUAAUAUAACAUUCUUAGAAAAUUCGUAAAUAAAUAUAAGAAUAAUUAAUGAUUAUAAAAUUUGUGUUCUCAUAUUAUAUUAAUAAAAGUUCAUAAGUGUUAGAAAACACCCUAAAAAUCAUUAAAAGUAACAUUUUAUAAUUAUAAUUAUAAUUAUUAUGCUUUACAAUAAAUUGUGCGAAUUUUAAAAAAAUUCACGACCGCGAUACCCGCAGUGACUGCAAUAGCAUCCGUUAUGUCUGCAACCGCGAUAAACGUAACGCGACCUAAAACGCGGCUGAAACCGCAAUUUAAAUCCCUAGUGGUGCCCAGAGAGGUCUGGUGAUUAUACCGUUCGUAGUGGGUAUUGAUUGCUGCUAAGAGGUUUCCCAGGUUCUAGUAGUGAUUCUUACAGAGAUAUUGAGCCCGAAAGACGGACAUUGUACAAACAUCUAUAGACGACAAAAGUCCCAGAGAAAAUGAGAAUUACAACUUGGUGACUAGUUAACAACUAUGUUCCAACUAGACAUAAUUUACACAAUUGACGACUAAUUGCUGAUGCUGCGUGUUAUGUGUGUGGGUUGUAAGCUGAAACUUCUAGACACGUCUGUCGAGAUUUCCCUUAUGCUACACAAAUUUGGGCUUAGUUAGAGAUCAACUGGGAUAUUCGAAGGAAUGAGGCGACAUUGGUGGAAUGGCUCUAUCAUUUGUAUUAUGAGAAUCAGGGAUUUAAAUUGCGGUCACGGUCGCGUUUUCGGUCGCGUUGCAUUUAUUGCGGUUGCAGACAUAACGGAUGCUAUUGCGGUCAUUGUGGGUAUCGCGGUCGUGAAUUUUUUUUUAAAAUUCGCACAACUUAUUGUAAAUCAUAAUAAUUAUAAUUAUAAUUAUAAAAAGUCACUUUUAAUGAUUUUUAGAGUGUUUUCUAACACUUAUGAACUUUUAUUAAUAUGAUAUGUAUGAGAACACAACUUUUAUAAUCAUUAAUUAUUCUUAUAUUUAUUUACGACUUUUCUAAGAAUGUUAUAUUAACUAAUAACAAAGUAAAAAAAGAGAGGAAAUAUUAAACAUUUAUCAUAUUUAAUAAGUUUGAGAGUUUGUAUAGAUAAAAUAAUUGAAAAUUCAUACCUGAAAGAUGUCUUCAAUAUUUCUUGACAGCUUUGAAGAUGGUGAAAAUAUAAACAUUCUAUGUUUCAAAAGGAAAAAAGGAAUAGAUAAAUGUAUAGAUUCUAAUUAAUUAUUCCUAUUUCCUACCACUUAUUGUCACUCUUAUUCUACUUUCAUAUAUGGUUUAACAUGCUUCGAUUCUUAAUUAUCUUUUCAUAAAAUAUACUCUAUUCAUUAAUCUAAAGAUAUAUUUUAAAUGUUUUAAUAUCAUCAAAAUUAAAAACAUAAACAAAAGUUUUCUUUAAGAAAAACAUACCUUACAAAUAAAGGUAGUGGUACAAUUUAGUUUUCACAAAUUAGUGGAAUGACGAGGAAGAUCAGAUCCUUCACCUUCACUUUGAGAGCGUUCUUGACUUAAUUCUCUUGGCUUUUGUCCAAAUAUAUAUAUCCAAAAAAGUGACGUUUUCACCUUGGUUUUCAUAUAAUUGAUAUGGAGGUAUAUUUAAGGAGUGAGAGGUGGAGGUGGGUGAUACAUUGGUGGUGGAGGAUGCAUUUGAGGCUGGUAUGGCACACCAUAAUUAGGAAAUGGUAGGUAAUAACCAUAUGGUUGUGGAUAACCAUAUGAAGGUUGAAAAUAUGAAGGUUAUUCUGGUGGAUAAAAACCUUGAGUGCUAGUAGAUGAAUUACUGUACCCAAGGUUACUAGAACUCGAUCUCCUACCAGAUGAAGAGCUUAUAGAAGUAUGCUUCUUGCCUUUUCCUUUUGAUGGAGCUCUAGGUUCACUUCUAUCUCUCCUAGGUUCAGGAAACAUAUUUCUAUGAAACUCUGAUCUAUCAUGAAAAUGUCCACUAGUGGUACCAACCCAUAUUCUCCUCUAUACUGACUACAAGACCUAAUUUCACCUCUAUCACCCUAUAUCCAUCAUCCUCAUCAAUUGGACUUAAACCACUACCAUCGGGUCCAUCGCCACUCUGACUUGGCGUUGAACUAGAACUUGAAUGAGAUAAAUUUUAUUGUUGAGAUUGAUUGAUAAACCAUAAGUUACACAUAUUUUUACCCCAUGCUUGGCAUAUUUAUAGAUGAUUUUUCCUUGGUUUUAUUGAAUUCGAUGCUCUUAAUCCUUUAAAUUCAUGUUUUACACUUAAGUGAGCAUAGGAAGGCGAAAAGAGCAAGAAACGAGCCAAAAACGGACAAAUUGGGCCUAAAUCGGUGUUUCACACGGCCAAGUACUGCCACACGAGUGAUCCACAUGCCCGUGCGUGACACAUAGGUAGACCACACGCCCGUGUGUCAUGGCCGUGUCGACAUUAAUUUAAGUCAAAAUUGCACACGGCCUGAGUACUUGCACACAGGCGUGGCACACGGUCAUGUCCCAGUCGAGCUCAAGUCUAAUUUUACUCAGAAAAGGCUAAUUCUGGGCUAUUCUGGGCAUUCCAAAGUAUAUAUAUAAACACCCUAGAAGAGGAUUAAAGGGGACACGCAGAGUAGAAGGCAGGGAAGUACUCAAGAACAGCCAUCAGAAUCACCUCGGAGGCAGGAUCUAAAUCAAGACUGAAGAUUUCCAUCCAAUUUUCUAGAAGUUCUUUGGGUUUCUUUAUGUUUUGUUGUUUUCAAUAUUUUGAGAUGUUUUCCAUUAUUAUCAUGAACUAAACUCCCUAAAUACCUAAGGGAGAUGAAACCUAAGACGAAUCUUAUUACUUUUUGAUUUAUAUGAUAAAUAUUUGUUCUUAUUCUUAAUUGUGAGUUUUAAUUCUUGCUUUAAUAUUCUAGGAUAUUAAUUCAGGUUUUUGAUGUGCUUAUUCAGUGGAGGAAAAGUCCUUGUUUAAGAGUAAAUCAUUCAUAAUUAAGCGGAGUUGCAUGCAAUCCUAGAGAUAGGACGACAUAAAUCUGCCGGAUUAGAGUCAAAUCUAAUAAGGGAAUCCAUAAAUCGAGUUCAUGCGACUAUAGGGGUUUUAAUUAGAAAGAGAUUUCAAUUAAUCAACCUAGAGUCAGUUGUUUUUAGUCUCAAAAGGGAUAUUAACAUAAAUUACGGAUUUCUACGGAAUAAGUCAAGUGAAUAAAUCGUCUAAUUAAGAGGUAAUAAGUGAAGUCCAGGUGAAGUCUUUCUUGGGUAUUGUCUUCUCAAUCAGUUUUUCAAAAGUAUUUUCCAACCUUAACCUCUAUCGUAAUCUUAGCUAAUUAGAUAAUUAGCUUUAGGUAAACAUUCUCUUAAUUUUUAGGCUAAAUAAUAAAAAGAUAGUAAUUACUAGUACUUUUAGUCCUCGUGGAUACAAUAUUUCCGGUCUCACCAUAACUAUACUACUAUUCGAUAGGUGCGCUUGCCUUAAGUCAAAUUUUCAGUUAGUUUUGACGACCAUCAUUGAUCAACACCCAUUUCAUCAUCAGAGGUAUCCACAGGUAACACAAUGACAUCUUCACCAUUUAAUAAUGGAUUCUCUUUCUCAUGAAGCCAUUCUGAUAGUGGAUCAACAUCUUCAAAGAUAUGAUCAAGGCUGAUAGGAUUAAAACUAGCAUUUAUAUCAUCAUUGGUAAUUCUUUUUUGAUACCUUAUCUGAAGCCUCAUAUUAUAAUAGGUAAACACUAGUUUUUCAAGUUUUUUAUAUUUUAACCUAUUUCUUGCCUUGGUGUGACUAUAACUAAAUGUGCUCCAAUUUCGUUCAUAAUUUGAUGCUGAAGUUGUUUGACUAAGCAAUUUAAUUGCUAAUUUUUGUAAUUCGGGAAAACAUGUGCUGUAUAUUAUCCACCACUCAGCUACAUAAUAUUAUUUAAAUUUUAAAAUAACUUCAAAAUAUACAAUAUAAUUAAAUAAUAUAAAUUAAAUUAAAUAAUUUAAUUAACUGUUUACCCGGACUCAUUUGCUUCCAAGCUCUUUGUGCUUGUGGAGUACUGAAUGUCUCAUGUUUAUCUCUAAAUAGUAACAACUGCAUAAAUAAAAGAUAGAGUAAAAAAAAUUCUAUUUCAAAUUAUGUAACUAAGUUACAAAUAAUAAUAUUUGAAUCUAACCUGAUUAACCAUUCUAACUUGAGUAUCAAGAGAAGGUUCUAAUCUUUCAAUUACUGAUAGUGUACCUGAUAUUGUUUCUAUUAGUACAUUCUCAGAAUGCUCCACCCCAAAUUGAAAUUGAGGAUUGAGAAAAUAACCUAAGUAUAAUUUAUAGGAAUAUCAUCAAAUAACAAUAAUCUAAAACUUAAAAUAAUAAAAUAUAAAAAUAGUUCUUAAUUAUUCUAUGAAACAUUUUACCUUACCAGCUGAAUGCAAGUCGGAAUGCAUAAAAUUCCAUCUAUUGUCAAGAAUUUUUUUCAUACUCAGUGAAAUAUCGACAAUCUUGUUGAAUUGCUCGUUUAGCUCUAUCAACAGCCUCAUAAAUAAAGCUCAUUGUUGGUUUAUUCAUUGCUAUCCAUAAGUCUCAAUACUUUUACUAGGGGCUAGUAAACUUUUAUGAGGUCGUUGGCUUUUUUCCAAAAAUAUUUUUCCAAAACAAUUUUUUUGGUUUCAUAAGCAGGCCCUGACUUUUGCUGUCCCCAUUUUGAUUCUUUAAAUUCUUAUAUAUUCAUAAGAAACAUUUUAAAAUAAUAUAAUUUAAAUUAUUUGGAACUAAUAAAAUCUUUAAAGGUUGCUAUAUUUAAGUAAUUAUAUUAACUAAUUAUAAAACACUAACAUUUGAAUUAAACAUUUCUUUCAGAUCUUUCUUUUGUUUUGUUAUCUCUUCAAGUUGAAUGAAAUGAGUUGCAAAUUGAGUAAGAGCGGAUCGAAGUAUUUGUUUCCCUUGUGUAUACUUCUUUAUCAAGUCAACAGUCUAAAUAUGAUUGUAUAUAAAGCAAGUCACUUUCUUUGUCUCAUCUAACACUUUUGCUGCACUGGGCUUUUUCUCAAUAUCUUUAAGGCAUAAAUCUAAACAAUGAGCUACACAUGAGGUCUAAUAUAAAUGUUUUCUUUUCACCAUUAAUUUUUUUCUGACAGCUUUCAUUGCUGCCUCAUUAUCAGUCACUAUUUGGACAAUGUAAUUUUCUCCAAUUUCUUCUACAACUGAAUCUAGCAAACUGUAGUAGAAUUCAGCAUCUCUACUACGAACACUUGAGAAUCUACCGAUUUCCAAAAAAUGGUUCCUUUAUUACAAUAAACAAGAAAAUUAAUGAUGUGCAUUUGAUUCAAACUGUUGGUCAAACCAUCACACAUUAGAGUUGCACCCAAUUCAUUCCAAUAAGUCUUUAGUCCAUUUACCCAAUCACGAACUCGUUGAUACUCUAACUCCAAAUACACAUCUGAAACCUCAUAAGGUGUUGGGAGCUUUACACCUUGUCCAAAUUCUGUUGACACUUGAAUUAAGUUAUACAAACAUGGAGAGCUUGCUAAUUGAAAAGUAAGUUUUUCAUAUAUUAAAAAUUUAGAUACCGUUUCACCUAUCUUCCUUUGAAAACUCUUUAAAAAAGAUUCAUUAACCUUUACUUGCUUUGAACUUUUGCUUUUAACCAAUUUAGGUAUAACUCCCCUUAAGGUAAGUUCAGACUCACUUGGGAUGGAUUUACUUGUUCUUUCUCUACAAUAUUCUCUAGCUAAUCCAUGAGAAGAUCGCCCUUCUGCAUAAAUGUUAUUCCAACCGCCAGUACUUCGUCUGAACUCUUCCCUUCUAUGCCACUCGUGUUGUGAUUGGAUACUUUCUCGAGUUGCUUGCCGUAUAGCAGAAACCUCAUCAAUGAAUUCCUCGUGUUAAUCCUCAUCUUCUCUUAAUUGAGAUAAAAAUUUAUCUUUUCUCCUCUUUUUGUCUAUUUUCUUUGUAUUGCUUCCUUUCAGUAUAUUCAUUAUAUUUUUUUUAAUGACAACUGUUAAUAAAAAAUAUAAUUCACACUUUAUAUUAUUAUCAAUUAUAUAUAAUCUUUAUAGAAAAUUUACAAUAACAUUUAAAAAUAAUAAUAAAGUAUCAUAUACCAAUAACAUUAGGGCAUGGUGCAACAUUGCCAGUUUUAUAAGCAAUAUGCUCUUUAAAUUGCGUUAUUCCUCCUUUCACAACUUUACCACAAAGUUUGCGUAUAAUAUUUCCUUUCGUAUUUGGCACUGGAGUUCCAAAGUGCCAACCUAUAUCAUUACUUGGUGCACCCUCCAAUCCUUUAGUCGGGAACUCUUUACAUGGUGGCAUGCUUUAUUUUUAUUUAUAUAUAAGAAACAUAAAAUUAUAUUUAGAAAUAUAAGCAACUCAUUACUUAUAUUAUCAACAAAAUAAUACAAAAAAAGUAAACAUCAUUAACAUGGAAAAUUUAAAUUUAUUGCAUAAUCCAUGCAUAAUAAUAAAUAAUAAAUUAUGAAAGUUAUGAGAUUUUAAAAUAAUAAUAAUUAAUAAUAAAUAAUUAUCAUUAUAAAUUAUAAUUACAAUAUUAAUUAAAAAUAACAUAUAAAGUAAAAUUAUAAACCUGAUAAGAUUGAGGCUUUCAUAUUAAAAAAUACAAUAAUCUAAUUGUUGUCAAAAUAGUUUUCAUUUUCUGUAAAAUCUCUCCAAACUCUAAUAAAUCAACCCAAAUAUACUUCAACAAGUUAAAAGAUGAAGAGGAUGGGAGUGAGGUGGGAUUCACUCUUUUCCACUUUUAAGUACUUAAGCUAGUUUAUAGAAAUAGCAGGUGAAAACAUUUACGUAAUGUAUUUAUAAAAAAAUUGUUAUGAAAAUUAAAGGCAUGAAAUGAUAAAUUUAAGAUGAUUUUAAUGUUCGGUUUCAAAUGUCAUUAUUUACAUUUAUAUGCAUGUAUUUUUUUCUAAAUUUAUCAAAUAUAAAAAUAUAUAAAUACCUCAAAAUAAUAUUUGUUGUUUUAUAAAAUGAAUGGAUAAUAAUUUUCUAAUUGAGUUUGGUCUCGAUUAUUAGGUUACAUCAACUCAAUCAACUCCUUAAUUUAUAGUAUAAAUGAUUUUUUAUGGUUGCAUUAGCAUAGUAUAUAAUUACAUAAAAAAAUUAUUAAAACUCCAUAUGUGUAUGUAAAAAUUUAAUUUCAUAAAUUAUUAAUAUGUUAAAAUUUAUAUCAAUUAAAAUUAAGCAAAUAGAAUAUGAAUAUUUAUAUUAUACUUCAUUGUCAAUAAGUUAAUGUCAAGAGUCAACUAAACACUAACCUGAUUAGAAAUUAAAAAAAAAAACAUAACCUUUUUACAAAGUAGCAAAUAUUACAAUAUAAAAAUAUUUUUACAUUUUAUACAAUAUAAAAAAUCAAUUUAAAUCCAAAAUACAUAUAGAAAAAUACAAACAAUAAACAAAUUUAAAAACUUUCAAAUCCUCAAAUUUAUCAUUCAAAUUAAAUCUUGUUUUUUAUAUUAAUUUUAAUAAACAUAGUGAGGAUAUCAUUUUCAUUAAAUAAUAUAUAGUGGUUUUAUUUUAAAAAUGAUUAUAUAUAUAUAUUUAACCAGUAUAAUGAAUUUCAUUUAUGAGCUUUAAUUUCAACUACCUAUUGCAUAUUAAGUCAAACAUUACUCCCAUUAAAGAGUGAUUAGGAAUAAAUUGAUCCUAAUUCCUAACAGUUGUCCUGCUUGUCUUACUACCUGUAAAGGAAAAUAAAAAAGAAAUAUGCUAGCUAGGUGUAAAUGCAUGGCAGCUGUCCUACUAUUGAUAGCCUAGACAGUGUCUUGGUUUUGGCUAGGAGUAAAGGAAAAUAAAAAUGAAAAUAUAAAAAAAAAAAUCAAAUGACAGAAAACUUAGAAAGAAAACUGAAGAGGCCUAAAGUCUAUCAUCCUCUCAAAACUUAUAUCCUUUCAAAACUCUAUCAAAUUCUUGGAAUAUGCUGGUUGUGCCUUUUCCCUUCAUCUCUAACCUAAAGUCUAAAAAACAUAUUUGCACUGCAAAAACAAGCAAAAAGCCAAGAAUCAAGACAAUUUUAGAUACUUAUUUGAAAAUUUUCAAUCACUGAAUGUGAAAGUGAUCAGGGUUUACUUUGUUUGCCAUUUGAUUUGGAGUUUAGGGACUGAAAUAUGAGAAAUAUAAUUUCAUAUUUUCUAUUGCUUUUGAGUUUUGAAUUUUGAUAGCUUUUUUCUAUUUAUUUGGUCUUCUUUUCGCUUUUUUUUGAUUGAAAACACUCUGGUUUUGCAAGUAGAGAAAUAUAUUUUCUUUUGUUUUAUUAUGUUUCACUGUUUCUGUUGAUUUUUAUUUAGAAAAGAUGGAUUUUUUUUAAUUUACUGUAACAGAAAAUAACGAGAAUAGUGGCCCGUUAUUGCCGCAAUUGGUCGUUACCCGUUAAAUUGCGGCCGCGUGGCCCGACCCGAAGGCCCGCCCGAAAUGUGAGAAAGUUUGGACAAAAAUAUAAGCCCGAAAAAUAGGCUUGGGUAAAAAAAAUAAGGCCCGUUUAAAAAACAGGCCGGAACUCAGGUAAGGCAUUUUUGAGCCGGACUCGGCCUGACCCGACCUGAAUUCACUACAUGAAAAAAAAAUUUUAAUAUUAUUUUCUUAUUGUUUUCUCACUAUUUUGCUACUAUUUUGUAAUUAUUGUUUGAAUAUUGUAUAAAACUUAUUUUAUUGUUAAUUUUUUAUUAUUUUAAAGACAUUUGUUAAUUUUGUUAUUAUUUUAAAAACAUUUGUUUGUUAAGUUAUUUAAGUAUACAUAUUUUUUAAAAUUUAAUUUCAAUUUGUUGAGAAAUAUUUAUUUGAUGUUUUUAGUAUUUUUGAUGGUUUAUAUAUGUUUUAAAACUAUAUAAAAAUAAUAUAAAAUUUUAUAUGGGUAGGCUAGGUCGGGCCCAAAUUUUAACAUUUUUAUUUGAGUCAGAUUUGAAAAAAAUUUUAGGCCCAUUUUUCAGGCCGGGCCAGACCCAAGCCUAAUAAACGAGCCUAAAUUUUUAGUUGUGUCCGGCCCGGCCCAUGCACACCUCUAAGCGCGACUCACCGCUAUUAGUGUGAUUUCGCUUCACAUCGCUAUUUUCAGCAAUAACAUUUUAAGACGGUGCCGCUACCGCUAUAUAGCGGCGGCUAUAGCGGUAUCAGACUGAUAUUUAAAUCCCUGAUGAGAAUACCCAUCACCGAUCAUUUAUCACAAUUACAAUAUGGGCUCUCUGGUUGUCAAGGAAAAAACUGGUGCAUGAGGGAAGUAGGCAAACCGUUAAUGAGUUCAGUUCAUUUGUUCUAAGGUGUGUUAAAGAACUGGAAAUGAUAGAAAAGAUUUACCCAAAGGCUAGCCAAGAUCAGCCUGUGCGAUGGACCCCUCCAAAGACCCGAUGGGUUAAGGCCAACUUUGACGAGGGUUUUUGCAGUGACCUGCAAAAAUCCAGUAUAAGAGCUGUUAUUCGAGAUGAAAAUGGUCUGUUAAUGGGGGCAUAUUGUAGUUGGAAUAGAAAUAUUCAGUCACCUGAAGCGGCGGAGGCUUUGGCUGCAGUUCAAGCUGUUCGUUUUGCCCAGGACAUGGGUUUUCGUAAAGUCACGGGGAUUCAAUGGUGGUCAUCUCAAAAAUAAAGGCGCAACAUUUGGAUAGAUCGGAGGUUAGCAUAUAUAUACAGGGGAAGCCAAGUAGUUACUUAUGGGUUUUGAGAAGUUUAAAUUUUAGCAUAUAAAAAGGGGAGGGAAUCGAGUUGCUCACAUAUUAGCCAAGGAAGACUUUCGCCGGAAACAUGACAUGCAAUGGGCGGAAGAGGGCCCAACGAUGAUACGGGAAACAGUGGCGAUGGAGGAAAUGAGGAUCAAUCACGCCGAUUCGUAACCUCUUCGUGGUAUGAGAAAGCUGUACUUGUGAAUCUAAGCAGCAAUUUCAUGGACAUUCUUCAUUUUUGAACCUUCACUGGAGAUUUGGGAUCAGAAAUGAAGGGUCUCUGAGCUGGUGUGCAUAGGAAAUCGUUGGGUUUCUUUUCGUGGUUUUAUGUUAUUGGUUUUAAUGUUUUAUGGUUUUGCUUUUAUUUGUAUUUUAUUGGCUUAUCGGUACUGAACACUUUAUUUAAUGUUGGUUUUAAUAAAGCAGGCCAAUAUUAUUUAAAAAAACCUUAUAUGACAAUAAAAAGUAGAUUUUGUCAA
rnacentral:lncRNA from 1 species